rnacentral:rRNA from 1 species
UACGUAGGGUGCAAGCGUUAAUCGGAAUUACUGGGCGUAAAGCGUGCGCAGGCGGUUUUGUAAGUCUGUCGUGAAAGCCCCGGGCUCAACCUGGGAAUGGCGAUGGAAACUGGCGAGCUAGAGUACGGUAGAGGAGAGUGGAAUUCCCGGUGUAGCAGUGAAAUGCGUAGAGAUCGGGAGGAACAUCAGUUGCGAAGGCGGCUCUCUGGACCAGUACUGACGCUGAGGCACGAAAGCGUGGGGAGCAAACAGG